CAGCAGCCACGGUAAUACGUAGGGUGCAAGCGUUAAUCGGAAUUACUGGGCGUAAAGCGUGCGCAGGCGGUUCUAUAAGACAGAUGUGAAAUCCCCGGGCUCAACCUGGGAACUGCAUUUGUGACUGUAGAGCUGGAGUGCGGCAGAGGGGGAUGGAAUUCCGCGUGUAGCAGUGAAAUGCGUAGAUAUGCGGAGGAACACCGAUGGCGAAGGCAAUCCCCUGGGCCUGCACUGACGCUCAUGCACGAAAGCGUGGGGAGCAAACAGGAUUAGAUACCCCGGUAGUCCCUGUCUCUUAUAC
rnacentral:rRNA from 1 species